rnacentral:RNase_P_RNA from 1 species
AGAGCAGGUCGGGUGGUCGCUGCUUCGCCCUCAUUUUUGAGGGUCGAAGGAGAGGAAAGUCCGAACACUACAGGGCAGCGAGCCAGCUAACGGCUGGGCGUCGUACAAAAUUUGUGCGGCGACGACAAGUGCAACAGAAAAGAGACCAGCCAACGGGUUGUCGUCUGCUCUUAACGAGCGUGCGGCAGUUGCGGGUGAUGGGUGAAACGGUGCGGCCCCUUUGCGGGCUUAAUGUAAGAGCGCACCGGCGCGUGUGGUGACAUGCGCGGCCAGGCAAACUCCUCGCGGUGCAAGACCAAAUAGGGAGGCGUCAAAAAGGGCUGCCCGCCCAAGCGGUCGAAAGCUUCAGGGCUUUCGGCUCACGACCUCCGGGUAGGUCGCUUGAGCCAUUUGGCGACAAAUGGCCUAGAUGAAUGAUCGCCGCUUCGUCCCCUAAAGGAUGAAGAACAGAAUUCGGCUUAUAGACCUGCUCUCUCG